UUUUUAAUAUGUACAGAACUAUCAGUUUUUGGCAAUUGAGUUACAUGGGACUCAUAACAUAAAUGGGGAAAAGUGGGUGUGCAUUGUAUAUAGGGUGACUGGUAAUUAGUGAACGAUAUUUAAACACGUGAUUGUACUCAUGAUUACAAACAACUUUCCUGAAGAAACUUUUUUGUAUACUCAUUAGUUUUAGUUUUAUCACAAUAAAAUGACAUUAGCACGCGCGUGUAAAGUUCCAAAAUACCUACCUAGUUACUAGUCUUCCGAUAACGCGGGCGCCUCGCUGCUAACAGCUGAUCAU